rnacentral:tRNA from 1 species
GGCGAUGGAAUUAUCGAAAUGUCCGAGUGGUUAAGGAGACAGACUCGAAAUCUGUUGGGCCUUGCCUGCGCAGGUUCGAAUCCUGCUGUCGACGU